AUUUGAUGUUUGAUGACCCUUUAUUCUGACAGAGUUGCAACAUUUCACGUAUCUCUUUAAUACUUUAAAUGCUGGUAAUUGACCAUGCGAAUAACAACUUUUGGGCUUAAAGUCAGACAUUUAUGUUCAUGAUUUCUCUUGUUGUAACAAUUCAGAAUAUUUAUUACUUUUUGCACAAUGAAUAUGGAUGUUGCCCAGAUAACCCUUUGUUUGUUUGAUACUUGGACGAGAAAUGAAAGAUUGGACGGAUGCAGGUCCUACAACACCCCCAAAUUCCCUCAACUAGAUCCAUUUAGAAACUAGAUGGACGGUUGGAGAUAAUUUACUAUUAACUUACUUGUUGGAAAAGUUUUCAAAAUUUUGUUUUGGAGCUAAAGUGGCACAUGUUCGAUAGGUGAUGCAUGAUUAUGGUGGUUGAUAGACAACAAGUCUCUUCAAAAUGCCUCGAUCAUUGCGCCAAUUUUUCUCUUAUUUAAAUGGUUCGCCAUCGGUUCCAUUUCAACCUCAUCAUUGGUGUCAGAAUACCUUUACUUUAUUAUACCAGUGAGCGUGCUUAACAUAAAUACGGGCAAAAAGGACACAAAAAAGAAUUUGAAGCUGCACUGUAGGGACUUGGUGACAAUGACUUAGAAGAUUCAAAAUUAUGGAUUUGUUUCAAAGAAGGGUGAAAAAAACCUUAUAGAAGGAUACCCUAACCAAAAAGUGAUGCAAACGACCUUUGUAUCACUAUAGCCUACGCCAUUCUUCAGGUUUUGCACAUUAGGUAGAACUUACCCUUGAAAACCAGCUGUCAAGGGAACCUUAAUUUCACGAUGUGGGAUGUAAUUGACCGGUGAUAGUUCUGUUUCUAAUUAGUAACUUUCAUCACCAUUGAAGAUUAUAUUCUAGUAUGACUAAACCAAAAGCAAAACAGAAUGUUUUCA